rnacentral:rRNA from 1 species
AUUACGUCCCUGCCCUUUGUACACACCGCUCGUCGCUACUACCGAUUGAAUGGCUUAGUGAGACUUUCGGAUGUGUUUGGAGCCGCUGGCAACAGUGACACCUUGCGCAGAAGUUAUUCAAACUUGGUCAUUUAGAGGAAGUAAAAGUCGUAACAAGGUUUCCGUAGGUGAACCUGCGGAAGGAUCAUUA